rnacentral:rRNA from 1 species
AUACGGAGGAUCCAAGCGUUAUCCGGAUUUAUUGGGUUUAAAGGGUGCGUAGGCGGACUGGUAAGUCAGCUGUGAAAGUUUGCGGCUUAACCGUAAAAUUGCAGUUGAUACUGUCAGUCUUGAGUGUGCAUGAGGUGGGCGGAAUUUGUGGUGUAGCGGUGAAAUGCUUAGAUAUCACGAGGAACUCCAAUUGCGAAGGCAGCUCACUGGGGCAUAACUGACGCUGAUGCACGAAGGUGUGGGUAUCAAACAGGAUUAGAUACCCUGGUAGUCCACACAGUAAACUAUGAAUACUCGCUGUUUGCGAUAUACAGUAAGCGGCCAAGCGAAAGCAUUAAGUAUUCCACCUGGGGAGUACGCCGGCAACGGUGAAACUCAAAUGAAUCGACGGGG